rnacentral:pre_miRNA from 1 species
GUAAUACUCCCUCCGUUUCAUAAUUUUGAUCGAAAUAUUACAUGUAUCUAGACACUUUUUAGUAAUAGAUACAUCUAUUUUUAAUCAAAUUUAAGACAAAAAUUAUGAAACGGAGGAAGUAGAUC